rnacentral:lncRNA from 1 species
AAGGCAAUCUGAGAUUUUGCUUGGUUUUCCCUUUUCUUUGCUGGACAAACUCCUGCUUCUCUUUCAACAUUCAGUUCAUGCGUUACCUCUUCUGGGGAGAUUGUGACCCCUUUCCAAUCCCAGCUUCUCAUGGCUCUUCCAGCAUUUCUCUCUCGUAGCAUCUCUUCUUGCAACGGAAAAGUCAGAAUGCAGCUUAGGUUCAAUUCUUGGCCCUACUACUUACCAGUGGAUGAUCUCAGGUAAGUCCCUUAACCACACUGAGCCUGUUUCCUUAUCCAUGCAGUGGGGUAGUGAGGGUGUCCACCUCCCCCUGGUCAUGUCAGUCUCAAAUGAGAUUUGUUGAAAGCUCCUAGAACAGUGUCUGGCACAUGCAAGCACUCAAUGAGCAUUACUUGUUAUUAAUGUAUAAGUAAACGUACUUACUUGUGGGUGUGUGUUACAGCCAAGCUGUGCGCUCUGCAGUCUCGACCCCACAAGAUCGCCACUUUCACAUCUCUGUGGCUAACACAGAGACUGCUGCAUAGAGGAAAGCACCGCAGAGUGACCAAGAGCCCGUGUUCAAAUCCACAUUGUGCCACUGACCAGCUGUGUGACCUGGGGACUCCUCCCAGGAGAGUGAACUUCAUUCUGUCCUUCUGCUGGGGACAAUGCAGUGGGCUUAGCUGAGAUCCAUCAGCCGUAGUGACACAAAGUUGGAAAAACGUGUUUCUCUUAAAAACUCUUGUGGCAAGAGAACGGGAACAGACAUCUUGCUGUCCAACAAGCGAGUGCUGCCAAGAGCCUGGCCCUGUGUUGGGCAUACAUAGUGCCUUGGUAUUUGGGUGCCCAUAUGAACACCAAGAGGUGGACCCUGAUGCCCUUUUCACGUGGAUUCAGACAUGCUGCCAAGGACGAAAGCCUGGGAGAGCCAACAACCCACGGACUUUGAAGGACAUACUAUUUUGCACAUGGCAGUAUCCAUCUAGAUGGAUUUAGGUUGCAAAGCAGACUAUUUUAUCUCCUCUGGGAACUCUAAUGGUCAAAAAAGAAUCACGUUCCUUCUUCGCUUGCUUUCUCCGCAUACGAGAAGGACAGGUGUUAGAAUCCUCAGGAUCAGGGAAAGCAGUUACAAUGGCUGACAUCCAGAUGUUCUCCAUUUCUUUCAUGGACACCAUAUUCUGAAAAGGACAAAUGGAAAAAUGAUUUGAAUAGGUACACUCCCAGGCCGUCCCGGUGGCAGGCUGUUACUGAGCUUCCUGCUCGCGGCUCUGCCUCACGUUCCCCUACCCGCCACUGUCCAAAAUAAGGGCCCCGGAGGAUCACGGGCUUCAACACUCUGAGAACAAAAUGCGUUAGGGUCCUGCAGACCGGCGCCAUUUCAGGUUCCAUCCCAGAUACUUGUUCUAGUCAGCCCAACAUUUUUUUCUUAAAAUACUUUGAAUUGGAGUUCUGUUACUUAAAACCAAAAAAAACUUGAUAGUCUGUCUUGUAUUGCUCAAUACUUUUCUUACUAAACAAUGUGGGGGAAAAAAGCAAGACAAGAACUAGCGACAGAAGGACAAGAUACUCACUUUGAGAAGCUGUCAAAAUCCUGUUCUAAUGUUUUUGUAAAAAUCAACUUUAUUGAAGUGUAAUUUACAUAUGAUAAAAUUCACGUGUUUUAAGCCUACAGCUUGAUGACUUUUGAUAAAGGUAUAUACCCAUGUAACUCCCACCCCAAUUAAGAAAUAGAACAUUUCCACCUCCCCAGAAAGCUUCCUGGUGCCCCUAUGUCAAAUUGCCGCCAGGCAACCACUGCUAUGAUUUCGAUCACUGGUUAUUAGUUUUGCCUAUUCUAGCAUAUCAUAUAAACUGAGGCCCAAAGAUCAUACAAUGCGUACCCCUUUUAUCUGGCUUCUUUUAAUCAGCAUAAUCAUUUUGAGAUUCAUUAUGUUGUUGAGUGUAUCAAUAGUUCAUUUUUGUUGCAGUGUAGUAUUCCAUUGUCUCUAGGAAGAAG